CUUCUCCAGCUACUCGUUUGAGAGCCGGUGGCGUUCCGGAGGUUUCUCCCUCGUUAUCCCCCUUCCUUUCACCUGAGGAGAGGUUCUGACUCUCUCUCUCUCUCUGUCUCUGGCGUCUGCGCAGCGGAGAAGUAGUGAGAAACAAUCAGAGUACAGGGUAUUUUAAUCUUUAGGGGAUCAAGAUGUCAGAUGCAAACAAAGCUGCCAUUGCAGCAGAAAAGGAAGCUCUGAACUUGAAGUUACCCCCCAUUGUCCAUCUCCCAGAAAACAUAGGCGUUGAUACACCAACACAAAGUAAGCUGCUAAAAUACAGAAGAUCCAAGGAGCAGCAGCAGAAAAUUAAUCAGUUAGUAAUUGAUGGAGCCAAAAGAAAUUUAGACAGAACACUGGAUAAAAGAACACCUCUAUUACCACCACCUGAUUAUCCUCAAACUAUGACCAGUGAAAUGAAAAAAAAAGGGUUCAACUAUAUUUAUAUGAAGCAAUGUGUAGAAAGUAGUCCUAUAGUACCUAUUCAGCAGGAAUGGCUGGAUCACAUGUUAAGGCUGAUACCUGAGUCUCUAAAGGAAGGGAAAGAAAGAGAAGAACUUCUUGAAAGUCUCAUAAAUGAGGUGUCAAGUGACUUUGAAAACAGCAUGAGGAGAUAUUUGGUGCAGAGCGUUCUUGUGAAACCACCAGUUAAAUGGCUUGAAGAUGAAGGAGGUCCUUUACCUGAAUCUCCUGUAGGCCUAGAUUAUUCUAAUCCUUGGCAUUCUAGCUAUGUGCAGGCAAGAAAUCAAAUAUUCUCUAAUUUGCACAUUAUUCAUCCAACUAUGAAAAUGUUACUGGACCUUGGUUAUACAACAUUUGCUGAUACAGUUUUGUUGGACUUCACAGGAAUUAGAGCUAAAGGUCCAAUUGACUGUGAAUCACUGAAAACUGAUCUAUCAAUACAAACUAGAAAAGCAGAAGAGAAGAUAAUGAAUACGUGGUAUCCAAAGGUUAUAAAUCUCUUUACCAAGAAGGAGGCACUAGAAGGUGUUAAACCUGAAAAAUUGGAUGCAUUUUAUAGCUGUGUUUCCACACUUAUGUCAAAUCAGCUAAAGGAUCUAUUAAGGAGAACUGUAGAAGGAUUUGUAAAACUCUUUGACCCAAAAGAUCAACAAAGGCUGCCAAUAUUUAAGAUAGAAUUGACAUUUGAUGAUGACAAAAUGGAAUUUUAUCCUACCUUUCAAGAUUUGGAAGAUAAUGUUUUGAGUUUGGUAGAACGAAUAGCCGAAGCUCUGCAGAAUGUCCAGACCGUCCCCUCUUGGCUAUCAGGAACUUCAACACCAGUAAAUCUUGACACAGAACUUCCUGAACACGUGUUACACUGGGCUGUUGAUACACUGAAGGCAGCAGUACAUCGGAACUUAGAAGGUGCAAGAAAGCAUUAUGAGACAUAUGUUGAAAAAUAUAAUUGGCUCUUUGAUGGGACUGCAGUUGAGAAUAUAGAGACUUUUCAGACAGAAGAUCAUACUUUUGAUGAAUAUACAAAG
rnacentral:sRNA from 1 species